AGUGAACGCUGGCGGUAGGCCUAGCACAUGCAAGUCGAACGGCAGCACAGUAAGAGCUUGCUCUUACGGGUGGCGAGUGGCGGACGGGUGAGGAAUACAUCGGAAUCUACUUUUUCGUGGGGGAUAACGUAGGGAAACUUACGCUAAUACCGCAUACGACCUACGGGUGAAAGCAGGGGAUCUUCGGACCUUGCGCGAUUGAAUGAGCCGAUGUCGGAUUAGCUAGUUGGCGGGGUAAAGGCCCACCAAGGCGACGAUCCGUAGCUGGUCUGAGAGGAUGAUCAGCCACACUGGAACUGAGACACGGUCCAGACUCCUACGGGAGGCAGCAGUGGGGAAUAUUGGACAAUGGGCGCAAGCCUGAUCCAGCCAUACCGCGUGGGUGAAGAAGGCCUUCGGGUUGUAAAGCCCUUUUGUUGGGAAAGAAAAGCAGCAGGUUAAUACCCCGCUGUUCUGACGGUACCCAAAGAAUAAACACCGGCUAACUUCGU
rnacentral:rRNA from 1 species